rnacentral:rRNA from 1 species
GGGGAAUCUUCCGCAAUGGACGAAAGUCUGACGGAGCAACGCCGCGUGAACGAUGACGGCCUUCGGGUUGUAAAGUUCUGUUAUACGGGACGAAUGGCGUAGCGGUCAAUACCCGUUACGAGUGACGGUACCGUAAGAGAAAGCCACGGCUAACUACGUGCCAGCAGCCGCGGUAAUACGUAGGUGGCAAGCGUUGUCCGGAAUUAUUGGGCGUAAAGGGCGCGCAGGCGGCGUCGUAAGUCGGUCUUAAAAGUGCGGGGCUUAACCCCGUGAGGGGACCGAAACUGCGAUGCUAGAGUAUCGGAGAGGAAAGCGGAAUUCCUAGUGUAGCGGUGAAAUGCGUAGAUAUUAGGAGGAACACCAGUGGCGAAAGCGGCUUUCUGGACGACAACUGACGCUGAGGCGCGAAAGCCAGGGGAGCAAACG